CAGCAGUGACAGCUGUGUCUUUCAGCCCUUGAAGGGUACACCAGCGUUUCAGGAUUGAUUAUAGUAGUACAGGGUGAGGGUAUCCUCGUUACAGUCCCGGGCUGGUUUCACUGGCACCUAAGCCCCUUCUAGAAUCCUAUGCCUCGUCCACUAAGUGCAAGACCAGGGCUGCCUCCGUCCGUCCUCUUAAAGACAUUGUUUCCCAGGUAUCCCUGCACCAGAUGUGGCUUCAGGACUCCCUUCUCACGGGAGAAACAAGAGUGGAAAUAACACUCGAACGUCUGGGUGCUGCCAGUGUUGCUGGUCCAAGGACCACGCUUUGAGGACCACCGUCUUAGGGGAUUCACUCGGGGGACAUCCUCCUGCUGGAAACCCAGGUUGGAAAAACGCCACCGUAUCCCUCGGGAGUAUCGCCAGUGCCUUCCAGCACCGACAGUCGAAGGUUCUUCUGCAUAUCUGACCUGAAUCUCUGCUGCUGCGUUGCUCCUCGGCCAGGGUGGAGACAGUCCGAGGAUUCCAGGGACCCCACUGCCGAAGCCAAACCUCUAAAAAAGCUCCACUGCACCACCUCCCUCGUAUCGCUGCUUGAUAAAGAAACCGAGGCUAGAGAGCAGAGGAAACGACUCAUCCAAGGUCACACAGACAAGACCCAGACAUUUGAUGGUCCCUGAGAGGGAAGAUCCCACAGCCGAGCCACAGAGGACAGAAGCCACGUUAGCUCUGACACCCGCCAACUCGGGCUCCCCUUCUCUCUGCGGAGCCCCUGGGGCCCCGCCCCUACCAGAUGCUUUCAGAUGCUUCUCUACCCGCUGCAAGGAAUCUGCUCACCUCUCCUGAGCCAGGGAAGCGUGCCCAGGGGAUCUCUGCAUAUGAUCUGGAACAAGUUCCCUCCUCUCUGAGCCUCUGUCUCCCUGUCUGUAAAGGGGGAGGGCUGGGCUAGAAUUCGGGGUCCCCCAAGCGCAGGCCCAUCUGAGCCAGGUGAGGAAUGCAUAGUAGACACCGUGAUUCACCUGGCAGGAGAGUCACUCUUGCCUUCGCCCCCUUCCUCUCCUGGCCCCCCAGCCAUCUGACACUUGCC